rnacentral:rRNA from 1 species
GAUGAACGCUGGCGGCGUGCCUAAUACAUGCAAGUCGAGCGAACGGACGAGAAGCUUGCUUCUCUGAUGUUAGCGGCGGACGGGUGAGUAACACGUGGAUAACCUACCUAUAGGACUGGGAUAACUUCGGGAAACCGGAGCUAAUACCGGAUAAUAUUUUGAACCGCAUGGUUCAAUAGUGAAAGACGGUCUUGCUGUCACUUAUAGAUGGAUCCGCGCUGCAUUAGCUAGUUGGUAAGGUAACGGCUUACCAAGGCAACGAUGCAUAGCCGACCUGAGAGGGUGAUCGGCCACACUGGAACUGAGACACGGUCCAGACUCCUACGGGAGGCAGCAGUAGGGAAUCUUCCGCAAUGGGCGAAAGCCUGACGGAGCAACGCCGCGUGAGUGAUGAAGGUCUUCGGAUCGUAAAACUCUGUUAUUAGGGAAGAACAAAUGUGUAAGUAACUGUGCACAUCUUGACGGUACCUAAUCAGAAAGCCACGGCUAACUACGUG